rnacentral:lncRNA from 1 species
GCAAUGAAAAGGGCAGGCCCCCCAGCCCAGGCCAGCUUCAAACUCCUGGGAAAUCCAGAAACUCUAGAGAAGCUUGUUUGCCAAACCUUGCUUUGGGCGGUGGAGACAGAAUAUCAUGUCCCAGAUCAGCGUGUGGUGACUGUGGAGGCAUUUACACACAGCACACUCCAGCUCUGCCACUGGGCCGGCUGAGGUGGCUGCGGUACACGGCGCCCAUCCUGAGCCCCAGGUUCCUCACAUGUCAACAGCAUGAAAAGUGCCUCUAAGACAUCCACAGGUGUGCAGUGUUAAAGCAGUGAUUUGGAGGUUAUACUUCCUAUUGCUGUCUUUCUAAUCAUUACUCAACCAUGUGAACAGACGUAUUGAAGUGGUGGAGCAGAUAAGGAGGUCUUCAGGUCUGGAGCUGUCCAGGAGCUGAGACAGUCUCAGCUGGUAGCUGGGACACUCUUGGGGAGUUCCCCCAGCUGAAGAAAGUCUCCCUGCCGAAGUCAUGAUCUUUCCCAGGGCAGCCCACACCCCACAUCUAACGGCUGGUUGAUGUUGGAGGUGCGGUGUCAACUCUCACCCCAACUCUGCCACGUCAUGCAGCUCCAGAGCACCCCGUGGGACCCGCUGGGGCCUGUCAUGCCUGCGACACAGCCCCAUGUCUCCUUCAGCCCCAUCCACCCAACCCUGCUUCUUUCACUCAGCUGCAGGGAAUGAUCCAAACUUCCUGCACGCAAAUCUCUAGCGCAGAGUGUUUCCCAGGGAAACUGGCUUCCAAAGAUUGAUUUGUCUAACAAGUUCUAACACACACCAUAAUAUACAAAUGGGCAGGGCCGAUCGUGAAAGGUGAUCAGUUUUAUGAAGAGGCUUAUCUGUGUGCUGGUUCUGGUAAUAUCCCAUUAGUACAUUCUCUGGACCCUUUAUAUUGUAGUUGUUUAAAAUGGGUUGAAAUUUCAGAGAUCUUGAUACUGGAAAAUGUCAUUUGUUGUAACCAAAAUCCACCUGGAAAAGCAUACCACAGAUAUUUCAAUUUUAAUUGUAAAGUGAAGUUGUUCUCUUGACACCAACAAUUAUCUUAUAAAUAACCUAAUGACCUAAUCAGAACACAAAUUUGCAUCAAUUGCCGGGUGCUUGGAUACUUGGAGUGCAGGGCCAAUGUUUUCUAGUUUUUAUUAGUUUUUCAUAAGGUAGUUUAAAAUAAUCUUUGAUGCUGAAGUUUGGCAUUGAGGAUGUGAGAGGUAGGUAGUAGAAAUUCGUGUUUGACAUUAAAAAGCAGUCAGUUAUGCAAUUCUGUGUUUCCCGCUGCAACCAGCUCCAGGGUGCCCUGACACUGACAGCUCAGCAGAAGGGCACGAGGUACCUCCUCCCCAGACCAA